rnacentral:rRNA from 1 species
AACGAACGCUGGCGGCAUGCCUAACACAUGCAAGUCGAACGAGACCUUCGGGUCUAGUGGCGCACGGGUGCGUAACGCGUGGGAAUCUGCCCUUGGGUUCGGAAUAACUCGCCGAAAGGCGUGCUAAUACCGGAUGAUGUCGUAAGACCAAAGAUUUAUCGCCCAGGGAUGAGCCCGCGUAAGAUUAGGUAGUUGGUGAGGUAACGGCCCACCAAGGCGACGAUCAGUAGCCGGCCUGAGAGGGUGACCGGCCACAUUGGGACUGAGACACGGCCCAA